UUGGUUUCAUCAGCUCUCCAACGCACCAGUCCAUAACAACCAUCGAGUCGUAGAAUCUGCAAUGAGCUGAAUUCAUCUCCUUCUGCUAUUUCCCACUCUUCAUUUGCUUCUUCUUCUUCUUCUGUCUCAUUGCUUUUGAAGGUACAUUUAUCUAUCUUGAGCACUUUCAGAUUCGGUAGUGCACACAGAGCCGUCGUCGCUGCCGGAGUUAUUACACAAUUCUCCAGAUUUAAUUUUCUAAGAGUAGAUGGAAAUUUGAGUCCGUGCAGAUAUUGCCCGAACCCUGAAUAUAGAUCACGUGAUGAAAUCCAGGUUAAUGAUUGGAGUUUCUGAAGAUGACUCAGAUCAACUACUUCACUCAUCCCUGGUGAGCCUUCAUCCUCAUAAUAUCGGAUUUCCAAGCUUUUUAUAUUUGGAAUGCUUUCCAAGAAACCCCUUCUAAUCACUGACGGACUUAGCUCCACAUGCCGUAUCGUCUGCAGCUUCUUCAGAACAAUUUUUUUCAUGUAAUCAUCUUCUAUACAGAGUGGCACAUCCAACAUGAUGAGAUGUCUUAACUCGGACAUCUCCCACAUGUCAGCUGGGCAAGAGCCAUCGUCUAGCUUAGCAAUCAACGUUUGCAAAUUACACAAUCUUGAUAUUCCACUUCUAGGUAAUGACUCGCACUUGAUAGAUAAGUAGCGUAAGUUCACAAAUUGUAAUAUUUCUUCCGGGAACUCAAUCUUAUACUUACACAUUUCCAAUAAAUCCAACACCCUAAGCAAGCUUAAUGUGAAAACCAUGGGAGAUAGAUUCCUAUCCAACUCGACAAAGAGUAGAAAUGAUCGAACAAGUGACAUCUCUGAUGAAGAAGCAUACUCAUCAUCUUCCAUUCCAUAUGAUGUGUGAAUACUCACACGACGCAGCUGGUUAGAGAAUGUGAGCUCGGUCGAAUUCUUGACAUGUAGAAACUUCUCAUCAUCAGCUUUCUUAAUGCAUAAAUCUCUCAAAAGAUCAUGCAUGCUGUAGCUCUCUGCUUUUCCAUCAAAAUCAUAACUUGUAAUAACCGAAACUAGAUUCCUUUCUACAAGUGACUUUAAAUAAUCCUCUGCCUCUUCCUCCAAACUUUUAUCUCCAUUCGAUUUCACAAAUCCUUCUGCUACCCACUUCCAUAUGAGUCUCAAGGGGUCAAUCUUAUAAUCUUCGGGGAAUGCUGCCAUAUAGAGGAAACAUGGUUUCAAGUGAAUCGGCAUAUGGUUAUAACUUAAGGAUAGUAUAUUCAAGAACUGCUUGUCCGAUUCAGCAAUUGCAGCUCUUACGUCGUUCCCAAUAUUCUCCCAAACACCUUUCAAUCUUUCCACCUUUGACAACAGCCCUCCAAUCACAUUGAUAGCCAGAGGAAGCCCACCGCAAUCACUCGCAAUCUUCUUUCCUAUCCCUUGUAACUCAUGAGGCCAAUCCUCUUCUCCAAACACAAUUGGCUAGAAGAUCCCAACUUUGAGACUCGCUCAACAACUGCACCUUAUGAUGCAGACUCUCAGAGUCUGCAUAUUUGGCGACAUCCGAUUCCCUAGUGGUGAUCACAAUCCGACUCCCGUUAUUGUAGUCCGGGAAGUACCUCCUUAUCUCAUCCCAGAAUGUGGUGCUCCAAAUAUCAUCUAAUACAAUCAUGUAUCUUCUACCACACAAGCUCCUAUACAAGAUAUCUUUUAACUCACCAUCUCCCUUUCCAUUAUGUUUAUCACAUUCUUCUUUUCCAAUUAUGCAACGAAGAAGGCUUAAUAGAAUUGAGCGCAUAUUGUAAUCUUGUGAAAUUGUGGUCCAAGCAAGAUAGCUAAAGUGGUCAAGAAUGAGUGGAUGUUGAUAAAGUUUUCGAGCAAGAGUGGUUUUACCUAUACCACCCAUACCCACGAUGGGCAGGAUCUCCAGCUGCUUGCUCUCCUUCCCGAUCAGCCGCUCCUUCAGCUGCAUCAGAUCUUCAUCAACUCCCACCACGACGCUCUUCGAGCUCGGAUCUUGCAACAGAGAAGCCCCACUCGGUGAACUGCCACUCGGCAUCGUCUUCCCCUCCACGAGCUUCACCACUUGUUCCAUUACAGAAUCAAGUUGUUGAAUUUCUUGUUGUAGAUCUGGCGUAGAAAAAGUAAAGCUCACGCCUUCAGGGCUGGAAAGCAUUUGAGCAACCAUCUGAGGUUCAAUGAUAUCUUCUGCUCUAUGUGCUGCUUCUUGGAUUUGACUUUCCAAAUUCUCUAUGAUUUUGGAGGGUGAAGAUUUUUCAAGAAUCUGCUGCAGAGAAGCAGCUUUUUGGAGGAGGGAUUCGAGUUGUGGUUUGUUGUGAUCAACAAUCCAGCGAGAUUGUUCAGGAUUCAAGAUUUGUUGUAGGAUGGUGAUGAGGGGUUGAAGAUUGUAAGCCAUUUUUCUGAUCUCUUCUCACUCACAAAGGAUAAGCAAAUUUGAAGAUAUCACAACAAUCAUCCAAUCUGUAUAGCUACGCAGCUGUUGACUGUUGACUGUUGUAUUGACUUUGACCAAAUAAACCAUAAUUGUAAUAGUUGGCUAUAUUUCUUUCUUUUUUUUUCUUUUUUUUAUCGGGCAAAGUCAUGUUAGAUUUUAGUAAUUAGUUUCCCCAUCUACUCCAAGAACCACCUUAUCUCUCCAUUCACCAAAAUCCACCUUAUAUCUCCAAUCUCCAAUUGGCUGUAGUUUGCAUAAAUGAUAAACUCUAUAACUUAAUAAUUUUUUAAUGUCCAUUUGCACUCAUUAAAAUAUUAAUACUCCAUUCGUCCCAUUACUCAUGGGUUAUUUCUAAAUCUUUUUUGGAUACAAUCUUAUUUUCGUAUUGGACUUUCCUUGAGAAUUUAAUUAAAUCUCAUUUUUUAUUGUUUCUUAGAGAAAAUCGAUUCUUGUUUCUGUAUGCAGAUCUUACUUUUUGAUCUAUUUAUUUAUGUGUUGAAAGCAUGAAUGGAUUGAGAAUGCUAUUGUAAGAGUUGCUUCUCUUCAAAAAUAUGAGAGAGACACUUAACUAAGUUAAAAUCAACUCCGAAUUUGCGCAAAUAUUAAACAAAAUUUCCUUUUCCAUACUCAAAUUUAAUCUCCUCUCACCAUUUAUAUUAUUUCCUCUAUUAAUUAUCAAUAUCAACUAAUUAAAAAUGACAGGAGUAACAUUUGUUUAUUUAUUUAUUUAUUAUUAUGUUGGGUCGUAAGUAUCUUUGCUGUUGAGGCUAUAUAUAUGUUGGGAAGUUUAUAGCAUCAAGAAAGAGUGUUAUCUUUAGUAGAAUGAUGGAAUCUUGAUUGUUAGAAAGUUUUUAGCAUCAAGAAAGAUUGCAUCUUUGGUAGAAUGAUGGAAUCUUGAUUGUUAGAAUGUUUUUAGCAUCAAGAUGGAUUGUAUCUUUGGUAGAAUGAUUGAAUCUAGAUUGUUAGGAAAUUUUUAGUAGCAUUGUGAAAGUUUUGAUCUUCAUAGAAUCUAGAUUGUUAGCGUCAAGAUGUUUAGAAAUGGAGCUUGAAAGUAGUGAUCAUCCGGCCACAUUGUGUUAAUAAAGGUGUUGCUAGUCAAUUUUGGCAUAUACUUAUUUGGGGUGGAUCAAUGUUAUUGUUUCUUAUAAGUAGUCGCUUUAUUCUCUAUAAUUGUAUUCGAAAAUAGUAGUGAAAAAUCUCUAAUUUGGCAGCACCACUGAAUAUAUGUAGUGACGAACUAGGGUUAAUGAUUUUUGUGUUAUUUUUUCUUGCAUUCCUGAUUGUUUUAUGCUUACAAAGAUUAGAUCUUUAGUAAAAUCUUGAUUCUAAUUGUGUAGAGAGUUAAUUUUGGUGAAGACAUAGAAAAAUAUAGUGUUUUGAUGUUGAAUUCUCUGUUAGUAUUAUUUCGUUUGAAAUCAAUAUAAUAUUUUAAUUAAAGGUUUGAAGGUUGAAUUAUGAUGGAUAACCAUCCUUAGUAAAUACUCUAUUCGUCCUCGAUGAUGGCUCAUUUCUUCAUUCAUAACAGUGGCGGAGUCAGACUUUCAACUUUUUUUAAAAUAAAAUGAAUCGUUAAAUAAAAAAACUAAAUUAAACUAAAAAGAAAUAAUAAUCAUUAACACAAUUAUAAUUAUAAUGUCAUUUAAAUUACAAAAAAUACCUUUCAAACUAAUUUUCAAGUUCAUAAAGAGUAAUUUCAAAAAAUUAAGACGGUUAAAACUUUGCAAGGAGAAUUGCAACGCAUAAAAAUCAUUAUUGUAAAAUAAAUUUUUUUUGAGAUUUUUUGCUCCUGCCGCUAGGGUUCCUCUAGGGUUUCUCUAGGGUUUGAGGGUAGUGCUUUUCGUCUCUUGACUCGUGGAUGUUCUUCGUACGCAGGGAUUGCUGUUGACUUGUGCUGUUUGCUCUCGGUUUCUUCGAUGGAUCCAGAGGAGAUUCAACAUUUAUUUCUUUACAUUUCGAGAGACUCACUUGCACGUGUCCCCAAACAUCAACUUUCUUUUUCAUAUCUAGCACCUUCUCUCUUUUUGAUUCACAAAUCAAACUACAUAGCUCAAGUGCAUGAAUAUGCUCUAUAUCAUUACCAACCACUCUACCGAAGAAGUCACAAACUACCUAAACCAACACAAUCAAAGACACGCUUCCGGUUGAAGCACUCGAGAUAUAAACUCAUUAAGCAAGCAUAUAAGCAUGGAACUAUCCUAGGACCCAAGAACGAAGAAGAAAAUAUACUAAAUUUAGAUAUAUAUUUGAUUCAUAUUAUAACAGAAGGAAAAUGAGCCAAAAAUAUUUUUGCCCCAUUAUCCACAACAGAAACCCCUAAAUGCGGCGGCUAAAUAUCAUGCAUGCCAACUUUACUGUCAAGCAACACGAAACAAAAGAGGAAAAAACAAUCGAAUAAGAAAAACAAUCUUCAUCUUCCUUUCUUUUCUCUUCCUCUUUAUGUGCUCUGUAGAUAUAUAUGCCACACAAGAAAAUUCAUCAGGUUAAUGAAACCCAACAACAUGAUUAAGUAAGAUUUUUGCUCCAAAAUAAAAAUAUUAUCAUACAAAUAUAUAUGUGGGCGAGCAGGUGUUUCGAAAGCAAGGCGAAAGAUUUUAUUUAUGCUUUUUGGAUAGGCAGAGAGUGAUAAUAAGACUGACCUAUUUAAAGACUGAGAUGAUACGAAGUUGGAGGUCGUAGUUCUCGUAUUCAGAUUGCUGCUCCUCCUGAAUCUGUUUCGCUGAGGCCAUUGCUGAAUUGCUGCACCAUUGUAACUCGAUUAAUUGGAGGGUUGGGAUUUCUCCAAUGCCGGCGGGGAUUUCCUCUAGCUUCUCACACCAUUGUAUAAAGAGAUGGCGGAGUCUAGGGAAGUUGGUUUCAUCAGCUCUCCAACGCACCAGUCCAUAACAACCAUCGAGUUGUAGAAUCUGCAAUGAGCUGAAUUCAUCUCCUUCUGCUAUUUCCCACUCUUCAUUUGCUUCUUCUUCUUCUUCUUCUUCUUCUUCUUCUUCUUCUUCUUCUUCUUCUGUCUCAUUGCUUUUGAAGGUACAUUCAUCUAUCUUGAGCACUUUAAGAUUCGGUAGUGCACACAGAGCCGUCGUCGCUGCCGGAGUUAUUACACAAUUCACCAGAUUUAAUUCUCUAAGAGUAGAUGGAAAUUUUAGUACGUGCACAUAACAUUGACCG
rnacentral:lncRNA from 1 species